rnacentral:lncRNA from 1 species
GACACGGAGGAUGCGAAGAUAAUGCUGGUGAACGAAAGCCUCCUGUAUGAGCAUCCAAAGAAGUGACUUGUGAGGAUGAAGGAGAUCAAUGAGCAUAGGGAGUACUAGGCGGCGCGGGCGUCUAUUGUAGCAUCAAUGAAUGCAGCCACGAUGCACGCGGAUCAGGACGCAAGGAUGGCCUUGGAGCAUGCGACAUGGAUGGCGUCCGAUGAGUGGUUCCGCCAGUCAACGAGUGAUCUUCACACUCACACUUUAAUCUUAUUUUGGCAUGUACAAAUUUUGGAACUAUGAUUUGUUUUGCUUCAUCGUUUUCUUUUGAACCGUUGAAUUGAAAUGAUUUGUAUCAUAUGAUCGAUGUGUAUGGAUUGUAUAGAUUCGACAAUUCGCAUUUAAAGUUUGUGAAUGUGCGGUGUGAAUGUGCGGCAACCCAAAUAAGAGUAGUCUCACAUUGUUAGCAGACGCGUCCGAACACGUCUCCAAACAUAUAGAGGGUAGGAUUUGCAAAGUCGAUUGUAGAUGCUCUAACAUAGAGUUUAAGAGCAUCUACAACUGAUCUUAACAAAUUUGAUCCUUUAAAUAGAGUUUAAGAGCGUCUAUAACUGAUCUUAACAAAUCUGAUUCUUUAAACGUCUACGGACGUGUUCGGUUAGUGAUCAAGCGUGUUCAUUUUAAUCUUUUAUUUAGGCGUACAUAUAUCUGCAUUUCUCAUUUUCUCAUUUAUAGAGUUGGUGGAGGCGAAAAAAGAAAAAAUAAUGAAUAAAGAAAAAGAAAAAAAAGAUCUGAGGUGGGUCGUUGGACUCGCCGGACUAAUUAAACACGUCGGCGAGUCUUAUAUCUUAUCUAUAUUUGUUUUUAUAUGGAAGUUCAUGUACAAAAGUGAUAUUUCGAUCUCUUUUUUUCCUUUGGUCACUGACCGGACGCCUGGGAUGGCGGUUGUACAGCUCGCACAACAUCGACCAGACAAGUCGCGGUGUCCCCGUCGCUGCAUGUUGUUUAAAUCAACACUUCAUGUCGCUAUACGUUACAGUACAUCCGGCGUGUCUGACCUUCUCGCAUUUAACAAUGCAAGUGAGAUAAACUUAACAAUGAGGCGGGUGACAACGACAUCCAUAUACGCGACCUCGUCAUUGCAACACCAUAUUUAGUUUAAGAGUACAGUACAUAAGUAGAACCACUCCUCCCUCUCCUCUCAUCAAAUUUCGAAAGCAAAAAAGUAUUAUUGAAAACUCGAAACCAUCAGAUGCUUCACGCUAGCCAGCGCUGGCAGGGAAAAAUAAUACAAUUGAUUAAGGGAAGCGGCUGGUAAGGAACGAAAUCGACUCCACGCACGGCGGAUCCCGAUGCUUCACGCCGGACCUGACCGGACGCCCGUCUAGACGACGCGGCGGCAGAUGGUGACGCCGUCGGCGAUGGCGAGCUGGCAGACCUCGAUGCGCGGGUCGGCGGCGAGCUUGGCGUUGAGGUCCCUGAGGGCGGCGGAGAAGCGGGUGUCGAGGUCGGACAAGGGCGUGCCCGCCGGCAGCGCCACCGUGCCGCCCCAGAGCGUGUUGUCGUAGAUGAUGGUGCCGCCGACGCGCACCAGCCGCAGCAGCUGCUCGUGGUAGCGCACGUAGUUGGGCUUGUCGGCGUCCACGAACGCGAAGUCGUAGCUGGCCGCGCCAUCGUCCUCGGCGAGGAGCUCCUCCAGGCGCUCCAGGCCGGUGCCCUCGCGGAAGUCCACCUUGUGCGCCAUGCCGGCCUUCUCGAUGAAGGGGCGGCCCACCUCGUAGCACUCACGGUCGGUGUCGAUGGCCACGAUCUUGCCGUCCUCGGGGAGCGCCAGCGCGGUGGCCAGCAGCGAGUAGCCCGUGAACACGCCCACCUCGAUCGUCUUCUUGGCCCCUGCCAUCUUGAUCAGCAUCCCCAGCAGCUGCGCCUCGUCCGAGGACGACUGCAUGUAACCCCUGAAUCCAAAGAAUCAGAGCCAGAUCUAUCAGCAACCACAAGUAACUAGCUAGUAACAUCGAUCAAUCGAGAUGGACGUGGGAGCGUGCAUGCAGAGGAAGAAGAUGAUACUGUACGUACCAGGGGUGCUUGUCGGUGAUGAGGCGCAGGUCGCGCAUGCACUCGUGCUCGCGGGGGAACACGGUGGUGUCGAGGAUGUAGGUGUAGAGGGCGUCGCUCUUGAGCAGCGUCUUGUUGGUGCUGUCGAUGCCGCUGUGGACGUUGGCCACGGUGUUGUCUCCGCUGGGCGCCAUGGCUCUGGUCGCUAGCUCUGCCUGGGUUGGUGGUGCCUGGGUAGCAGGGUAGGGGAAUGAGUUGGAUCGAGUGUCUGUCCACCCACAGCCUCGACGUGCCUGUAUUUAUCCACCGGCCGCUGGCGGGGUUGGUGUCCAUGGAUCCACCUACCAGAAUACGCCCACUCGCCUUGUAAAAAGAGGAAACCAUCGACCACUACCAGCUUUAGCACAGUAUUUUUUCUCUUGCUUUAAUUAUUCUUUGUCUGGCGUGCCGGCCCCUCCAAUCGUGCUAGCCCAUGCCACAUGCACGUAUGGCGAUGAUCCAUCACGAUCAGAUUCCUACCGCCACCUACCUGCUCCGCUGUGUAUCGAUCGUGGAUGCAAUUUUGAUUAGGAAAAUUGGGAGAGCGUCCAUCAACGACUGAGGGACUGAGGGGGUGUUUCUUUCCAGAGAUUUUUUUGAUGUAGGGACUAAAAAAGUUCCUUUUAGUCUUAUGUGAAAGAAACAGGAGGGACUUCUAGGAACUAAAAUGGGUAUUUGGAACUAAAGUAAGAAGUCCCUAUGGGAGAGACUUUUUGGGACUUUUUUGACUCUUUUUCCAACAAUGCCUCUACUUUUAGCAUGUCAUUUAAUAACUUCUAUUAUAUUACUAGGGAUAACAUGGUUUUUUUCAUGUUAUUUAAUGACCUCUAGUCCAUAUUUAGUUCUUGGAAAGAAACAGAUAGGAACUAGAGACUUUUUAGUUGAGACAAAAAAAAGUCCUUCGGCUUUUUAAAGAAACAGGACCUGAGCACGAAGCUUCAGUCGCUAAUCAUGCUUUCGAGUUUUCCACCCACCCCCANACCCCCACCACAUGCCGCCCCACCGCGCUUUGGCUGUCAGCGCGGUGAUCACCCCCUGGCUGGCGGUUGGUGAAAAAUCUCCGAUUUAAGGAGGCGCUUUGGCGUGCUGCUUUUCUUUUUCCGAUGAAGUUUGGCGUGCUGCUUGCGGACAGAAUUGAUUAUUGGGCAGAUGCAUCACGGGGCCAGCGAGUAAAUCGAGCAGGACCCCUCUGCCUCCACCGGAGCGCUAUACGUGUCUUGGUCGAAAUACUGUAGCCUUCGAGCAGAGUGCAAGGCUAAUAAGUAAAGUAGAGCCAUCCCAUCGAGUCGACGAGAUUAAGUUGGCGCGAGGAAACCACCGAUCGGCGUUCGGCGAACUGCAAUGAUGUGCCUCGCGCCGGUAGAGAACAAGAUCACCGGCUUCUGCACGCAACGUUUGUCGGCGAGGACGGGUCCGUCGCGUGCGGAAGCAAGCCAGAGGACGGGACGAACGGACGAUCGUGCCCACGUCGGUUGCAACCGCUCCGGACUAACUGCUAUGCUAUGAUGGGAGCUCCAAGAGCAACUCCAAUUGGCUGAUUCAUUUUAUCCUUGCGUGUCUGUUUGCAUCGUGACGGACAGAAAAGUAUCCAAACUGGCACGUGUUUGCUUUUCCUCCGUCUACCGAUUCAUUUCCGGCUCAUUAUUUAGCUUGAUUUGCAUCGACGCGAACACGAGACGACACGCGCGACCAACUUCUUCGACGACGCCUGCAAUCUGUUCGACAGUUUGCCGAGGUAUAAAAUGGAUCCUGUCGACGGGUUCUUUUUCCACAAUUUCUUUGUGACUUCGACGAUUCCUCGUCCGGUGAUGAGGAGGAGAUCUUGGCCGUCGUGUUGGUCCAUCACCACCUUAAUAGCCUGGACACUUUUCGACAUUGAAUCGUAACCGAGAGAGUGGUCAUUUCUUUCUUUGAAAGGACUACUUUGACACAACCAACCCGCUGUUCAAACAUCAGAAAUUGCGGCGGCGUUUUCCGUGUGGCUAGGCAUAUUUUCAACCGUAUUAGAGAGGGGGUGGUCGGAUGCAAUAACUAUUUCGAGUGUAAAGAGGACGCCCUUGGAAAUAUUGGCUUCCCAUCUUAUCAGAAAUGCAUUGCAGCCAUCCGGAUGCUUGCAUACGGAGUGCCCGGUAAUCUCAUUGACGAGUACGUCCGUAUGAGCGAGUCUACAUGGCUAGAGUUCAUGUACAGAUUUUGCAAGGGUGUGAUUUGUGUGUUUGACUCUGAGUAAUUGAGAGAGCCGACUCCUUGAGAUACAUCCCGCUUGUUGGCGAUGAAUGCCACCGGGGGCUUCCCACGGAUGCUUGACAGCAUAGACUGCAUGCACUCGGAGUGGAAAAAUUGGCCUACCACUUGGCAAGGGCGGUAUAAGGGUCAUGUCACGGCUUGCACUGUCAUAUUUGAGACCGUGGCCUCACAAGAUCUCUGGAUCUGUCACUCUCUCUUCGACAUGGCCGGAUCACAUAAUGAUAUCAACGUGCUUCAAUGCUCGCGGGUGUUUGCAAGGCUUGCAGAAGGCAACAGCCAUCGGUGAAUGUUAUCGUCAACGAGCACAACUACGAACAAGGAUACUACCUAGAUGACGGUAUCUAUCUUUAGUGGACCACUACUAUGAAAACAAUCCCCGAUCCUAUCAGAGAGAAGAGGGAAAGAUUUGACCAAGAGCAAGAGUAUGCUAGGAAGGACGUCAAGCAUGCCUUUGGUGUUUUGCAAUCCCGAUGGGGCAUCGUUCGGAACCCUGCUAGGACUUGAAGCAUCAAGAAGCUGUGGGAGGUGAUGACAACUUGUGUUAUUAUGCAUAAUAUGAUUGUAGAAAAUGAGCGUCCCAAAUGUAUCUACAAUCGAGAAUUUUAAUUUUAAAGUGAGAAUGUUGUGUCUGAGCAUGGAGGAGCGGUAACUUUUGAACAGUUUGCCCAAUUUUAUUACGAAAUAGGUAGUUGAAAAACUCACAUGCAGAUGCAAAAUGAUUUGGUUGAACAUAUGUGGGCUCAUGUUGUCAACCAAUAUAUGUAUCUUUUUCAUAUGUAUUUGAGAUAAUUUAAAUUAUUAUUUGGUUGGUAAAUUUGUACUUAUUUAUUUGAAAACUAUGAUUUUUUUUGUUGUGAAACUAUGUUAUUUUUCUAUAUGUCUCCAUGUCAAGUAAUGCAAAAUGUGUGCAUAUUUGUUGAAAAAGGGCAACCAGUCGGCAACGCCGACAAAUAUGGGUCGCAUGCGUUGGGCCCACUGCCAGCCCAAAUGUUAAACAGGACAGAUGCCGAGCGGAUGGCCGAUCCAAACAAACAAAAAACGGACAAAAGCGUCAUUCGCGUUGGAGUUGCUCUAAGAGCAUCUAGAGCAAGACAUAGCAGAUAUGACCCUUUAAAUGUUCGGUCAAUAAUCGAGCGUGUCCUCAAUUUAUUUGUCUACGCAUCCAUACUCUUUAUUUUCCUCCUCAUAUGCCCGGUCACUUGCACGUGAUUGAUGGAGAUGAAGAAAGAGAAAGAAAAAGUGAAUAAAGAAAAAGAAAAAGUGAUCCGGGAUGGGGUCGUGUCCUACGUGACGGGCUGACCGGAUGCGUCCAUGAGCCCUCAUAUCCUCCUUAUAUUUGAGAUGGAUAUGGGUUCGCGGACAACCCGCGCUUAUAGGAAUGAUACGAGGGGUCCGGUUGGAUCAUGUUUUUUCCUUCUCUUUCCUACUCGAUUACUGACUCGGCGCGUUCGUGAACGUAUGAGGGUCGUUUGAGGCGUUCGAAUGUAGAUGCUCUAAGGACAACUCCAACGCAUGAUCCUAAACAAAAGUGUGUUUUGUCCGGUUUUUUUUUGUUUGAAAGUGGGAAUGGGUCCGUGUUUGUUCGAAUAUGUGUUUGCACCGGUUGGUCGCCCAACGUGCGGUUGCAUCUUCGGUCCCAUCUUGUCCGUGCAGAUUUUUUUGUUACUUUCAUCAAUGAUUUUUGUGAUACAUUGGAAUAUAUUCACCAAAUCUCAUAUAGAGUAGCAAGAUCAAAUAAAAUAAGAACCACAAAAGGACAUUUUAAAAGAUAUCCAACUUCCCUAAUGUUAGGGAACGUCGCAUGCGAAACAAAUUUUUUCCUACGAUCACCAAUAUCAAUUUAUGGAGAUCAACAUCUACGAGAGGAGGAGUGCAUGUACAUAACCUUGUAGAUCACUAAGCAGAAGCAUUAAGAAACGCGGUUGAUGUAGUCGAACGUCUUCGCAAUCCAAUCACGAUCAAUUCCGCGAUCCAAUCAAGAACGUUCCGAUCAAAUGCCGAACGACCGACACCUCCGCGCUCCGCACACGUACAACCCGAUGAAACCUUCACCAACUUGAUCUAGAGAGCCUGGCUGAAGUGCUAGAUGAGUUCUCCGGCAACACAAUGGCAUGGUGGUGGUGGUCGUGCGAUCUCAGCAGGGCUUCACCAAGCGCUACCACACACGCGAUUGAGAGGAGAAAUCGAUCUAGGGAGAGAGGUAGGGUUGCACCUAUGCCUUUGGGGUGGUCAUGCCAUCACUAUCCCUCUAUAUAUAUAGGAGGAGGGGGUAGGUAGGGAACAACCUUGGGCCCUCCUCCAACGAGGGAUGGCUGGCAAAAGAGCGGAAGAGUCCACCUCCAACAAGGGAGGCGGACACCCUAGGGAGGACUGCUCCUCCACACUUGGGCGCAUGGGACCUAUAUGGGUCGGCUGCCCAGCCCACCAGGGGCUGGUGCGCCACCUCUUUGGCCCGUGUGCCCUCCGGGGUAGGUGGGCCCCUCCUGGUGGACCCUCGGAACCCUUUCGGCACUCCGGGUACAAUAUCGAAAACACCUGAAACCUUUCUGGGACCUGAAUACCACUUUCCUAUAUAUAAAUGUUUAUCUCCGAACCAUUACAGAGCUCCUCAUGACGUCCGGGAUCUCAUUCGAGACUCCAAACAACCUUCAGUCACCAACACAAUAACUCUAUUAUGUCUGUAUCGUCAUCGAACAUUAAGUGUCCACACCGUGCGGGUUCGAGAACUAUGCAGACAUGACCGAGACACCUCUACAGUCAAUAACCAAUAGAGGGACCUAGAUGUCCAUAUUGGUUCCUACGUAUUCUACAAAUAUCUUUAUUGGUCGAACCAACGAUGUCAAGGAUUCAACUAAUCGCGUAUGUAGUUCCCUUUGUCCAUCGGUAUAUUACUUGCCCGAGAUUCAAUCGUCGGUAUCUCCAUACCUAGUUCAAUCUCGUUACCGACAAGUCUCUUUACUCAUCCCGUAAUACAAGAUCCCGUGACUAACUCCUCAGCCACAUUGCUUGCAAGCUUAUUGUGAUGUUGUAUCACCGAGUGGGUCCUCAGAUACCUCUCCGUCACACAGAGUGACAAAUCCUAGUCUUGAUCCAUGCCAACUCCACAGACACCCUCGGAGAUACGUGUAGAGCUUCUUUAUAGUCACCCAGUUAGGUUGCGACGUUUCAUACACACAAGGCAUUCCUCCGGUGUCAGUGAUUUGCAUGAUCUCAUGAUCAUAGGAACAUAUACAUUGACAUGUAGAAAGCAAUAGCAGUAAACUGGAUACGAUCAAACGCUAUGCUUAAGGUUUGGGUCUUGUCCAUUAUCAAAUGACAACUCAUGUCAAUGGCUAGGAAACCUUAACCAGCUUUGAUUAACAAGCUAGUCACCAGAGGCAUACUAGGGACAUUGUUGUUUAUACUCACACAUGUAUUUGAGUUUCCAAUCAAUACAAUUAUAGCAUAGAUAAUAAAUGAUUAUCAUGAACAAGGAAAUAUNNNNNNNNNNNNNNNNNNNNNNNNNNNNNNNNNNNNNNNNNNNNNNNNNNNNNNNNNNNNNNNNNNNNNNNNNNNNNNNNNNNNNNNNNNNNNNNNNNNNNNNNNNNNNNNNNNNNNNNNNNNNNNNNNNNNNNNNNNNNNNNNNNNNNNNNNNNNNNNNNNNNUCUAGGGCAUAUUUCCUGCUCUUGUAAGUUGGAUUAGUGCCUUGUUGAUGCAUUCAUUGUUGAUCUGCAGAGUCUUGAUCAUGAAUGCUUCUUUCUUCUUCGAGACUAAAGAAUUAGAUGUUGCUUCCACACAUCUAGUCUCAUCUCUAGCCUCUACUCUAGAAAAAAGUGCAGGAACCUCUAUUAAAGUGUGUGCUAUUAGUAGAUCGAUAUUUUCUUCUUCCCAAAACCAAAAGUUGCUACACAAUAAAUAUUUGAUUGUAAGCAAAUUGAACCGAAUCUCAAAGCACAACCGAAGCUAAACUAACACAUACCCCAUCAUUUUUGGCACUUGAUAAACAAUCGUCUGGGAUGUUCUCGCGUUGUAGACAUGCAGCACAAGACAUUGAAUGGAUAGUCAUCACACUUUAUGAGUGGCAUCGGUGCGCCGACGAGCAUUUGGGCCACACCGAGCCACAACGACGGCCAUUGGUGUAUUUUUCGGCGAAGCGGCGACGAGGUAGAUCUAAGCUGAUAGAGGCGGAGUCAGUACCUGCAUGCGGUCUUGGUUCAUUGCCUGGGCUUUCCGGACCGGUACCCGGCCGGUCCAUGGCACAACGCGUCCUCCAUUGGCCUAUUGUGUUCUAAUCCGGCGAGAUCCGCUCCAAAUCCGAUCGCCGGUUGCACANNNNNNNNNNNNNNNNNNNNNNNNNNNNNNNNNNNNNNNNNNNNNNNNNNNNNNNNNNNNNNNNNNNNNNNNNNNNNNNNNNNNNNNNNNNNNNNNNNNNNNNNNNNNNNNNNNNNNNNNNNNNNNNNNNNNNNNNNNNNNNNNNNNNNNGGGGGGGGGGGGGAUAACUCGUGACAUGGAGAAAACAUGGCCGAGCACGCGAUCGUUCUCGGCAGGUACAUGGCUGCGGUGAAGGUAACUAGGGUCGAUAAGGGAGUGGGGCGGGGUGCACAACUGGAGUUAGGUGGGAGGGGAAAUAGAAUAGGGUCGGAUGUGUUCUCGACCGGCGGGUCAGGGNNNNNNNNNNNNNNNNNNNNNNNNNNNNNNNNNNNNNNNNNNNNNNNNNNNNNNNNNNNNNNNNNNNNNNNNNNNNNNNNNNNNNNNNNNNNNNNNNNNNNNNNNNNNNNNNNNNNNNNNNNNNNNNNNNNNNNNNNNNNNNNNNNNNNNNNNNNNNNNNNNNNNNNNNNNNNNNNNNNNNNNNNNNNNNNNNNNNNNNNNNNNNNNNNNNNCCACGUUUAAAUCAAAAAUGGAGAGAAAGCACAUAAAAACAAGUAUUUAUCCGUUUGUUCUUGCGUGUUGAAUUGUGAUUUCUCUCUAUUUACCUUAAAACGGACUAGCUCAGUGCGCGUGUGUUGCCCCGGAAUAUAAAUUUACAUGGUCGUUUGCUUCGCUGCCAAUGCUGAUCUAACCUUGCUAGCUGUUUUGCUAUUAUUGACAAACACACUAUAAGACUUCUUGUGGUCGUAGAAACCCUUCCUACUUAAAGCGAUAAUACUAUUUUUAUUUUGUCGAUUGAGCGCUUUAAGCAUGAAGGGUGAUACAAAAAUAAUAUGAUACAAGGACAUCAUACAAAGAUAUCUUUUAAAAAAAAGUAUGAUAUCUUAUUCCAUAUAAUGUACUACCAAACCAAAUACAUGUGGCCCAAACUUGAAUUCCACAUAUAAAUACUCAUUAUCAUGAGUGGAAAAAGUAUCCCCGUGUUCUUAAUAAAAUCUCAUAUAGUUUGAGGGAUAUUGACUGCUAAGAGAAAAAUGUGCAGACAAUGCCACAAAACAAUAAAUUUAGGCAUAGAGAUCUUGGUUGUCCGCAUAGUUAUAAAAUGUCCUGUACACCACAAGGAUGUAUCAUGCGGAAUAAAUCAAGAAUUUAUGUGAUAUAUGUUGCUUAUUACUCCAUUGCUACAAAUAUUAAAUAACCAAACCAACAUACAUACUUUCAGAAGCUUGACAUAUUAGAAUUAAAUCAAAUUAUCUCAACUGUAGUGCCAUGGUGCUUCACCGGUAGUCUUGUUCGAAGUCAAAUUUCUUUGUAAAGUCUACCAACAUAGCGUGACAACAAGAAAGAAGCAAGUAAGAAAACAUUAAAAAAGAGAACACAUUACCCCCAUCAAAGGAAGCAACACUACAUGUGCAUAACUAAUAAGCAACCUAUCAAGCAUGCACACCUGUUAUGUCCAUCUUCAAUCUAUGUUUUCUUCCAAUUAAAUAGAUGCUGUGAAAAACUCAUAUUUCUUGGCAUUUUCUGAGUAUGACCUAUAUCCUUUCCAUUUGAUCUUAAAGCCUAAAUUUGAAAUGAUCAGCGCCAUUGACGUUUGAGUCCUAAAGCACCUUGCAAUCCCUUAAAUGUUUUAUUGUAUCUCGUUUCCUAAUUAUACUAUGUGACUAAUAGCAUGGCGUGAUAAGCUUGUAGAGUGCACACUUAUUUUACCUCAUUCUACAUCUUCGACUUACCUACCCCCCGUUGUAACUCCUCUCUCUCCUCCCUUUUGCUGCUCCAUGUUCUGAUCAAUCAUACAAAAACCUAAAAGCUAGUAUUACUUCAAACAAACAUAAAAAUAUAUGUAUAUUAAUAAUUUUCAAUUUUACUGUAACCGGUGUAUUUUUUUUAUAGAAUAGAACUCUUGGGGUUAAGUUGAUCAAAUGAGUGGAUGAUAUGAGUAACAUAACAACCAUUUACCUAGCGCUUUGUAUUAUGACAGGUUAGCACCCCUAAUGGUUGGUCCCUCAUUUGAGUAUCUUGAUACUAAGUUACUAACACAAUAGGUUGCAGAAAAGAUUUAGAAAAAAAGAAACAAUCUAAAGUACCAAUUGAGUAUGUACAGGUGGUUGCCAUGUCAUAUUUGGUUGAGUUACAAUCAUGUUAUUUGAGGGUUAUUAAGUUGCCAAGAAUCAACUUGGAUUGAAACCAUAACUUUUGUGCGCAUACUCACAUCCUAGUCCUAGCACGAGCUUUCGAAAACCUCAUGAGAUAGUCUAAACUACAGAAUGACACCCAGGUGACCUAGCCUUGCUCAACCAAUGGAAUAAAAGCCAAAUUGUCAACCGCCUUUACUAAAACAUGUCAUUACUUCUGCAAAUAUUUUUGAUGUACCAUGAUAUACUAACGGAGACUAUCUAAGGCACCUACCGUCUAGAGCAUCAUGACGGAGACAAUGUCACACAGGAGGAAUGUCAAUAAUACUCUAGCAACACGUACUCGUAUUAUGUUGUGCAUCUAUCAGUAGACAAAGUUACAAUUUUCCUCUUCUUAACACAUUUAAGUGAAGAAAAAGAACAAGCUUGAGUUCUAUGCAUGUGGGCGUGUGGAUAAACUAACCAAAUCUAAAUAUGUAUUUCCAAAAAAUAAUAUUUAUUGCCGAAUCUUAUCAUCGAUCUAAGCACAUCACAAAUCCUUCCAUCCAAGUAAUUUCAUUUUUUUCAAUAAGAAGAUCAAUCCUGAGAUAACAUAAAUUGAACACGAGAAGAACCCCCGUUACUUGCAUUUAACCAGUGUAAAAACAUCACAGAUAUCACAUGCCCACCUUUGUAAUGCACAUGUGUACUGGGUGGGAAAUAAAUAGAUAAAGGACCCUCAAUACCCCACAAUUUUAUAGUUAAUUGCAUAAACACAUUGGUAUAGCUAGAACUAAACAAAAUGGAAACAUAUUUGCAAUGGUAAAGACCACAAAAACAUGUGAAAGAAGAUUAGCCUUUUCAUUACCUGCAUAUGUGAAUUCUAUCUUAGUAUGUAGAUAGAGACAAAUCAUGUCCAUUAGUACAUCUAUCAGGAAUAACAUCAUAAGAUGCAUCCGUUUCCAUAUGCAACCCCAAAAACUGCAACGUGUGAAACUGAUUAAGGCUGUAUGGAAAAGUUAGAUGAACUAAUCUAGUCAUAACAUUUACCGGACAGAAGGUUUAUAAAAAAUGUUAUGUGUGCCGUAUGAGAAUGCCUCAUCAAGUCUACCAAAUGUUAGAAGGAAAAUAUAGAAGAUUCAAUUUUGUAAACCAUUACAGCCCGUGUGUCAUACCUCUGAAAUUUGUAAAGCACUCAUACCUGCACAUUAGUGAACUCCUCAAUCCUCUUCAUGAUUGACCAAGUCCUCCAUCAGCACCUCGUCAUCGAGUCAUCACCUAUCAUCGAGUCAAUCUCGGUGAAUGUCUCGAUCCCUGAACCGCCUCCCAUGUCUCAAUAUAAUAUGAAGAAUCAACUCGAUCAAAUCAAUGACCAAAGGAAAAGACGUGAUCCCUGAGACAACAUGUGUAGUUCCAAACAAACAAGCAAAAUUAAACACCACGACCCAAAAUCCCAGCCAACAUAUGUGAGGCUUCGUGCAGCGGUGCUUACAUCGAUUUGCUUCUGCAAAUAACGCGACAACGACUUCUUGGGCCGUCGUGGCGGAUGCGUGCAGCCGGUGGAGAGAAAUUCAUUAAUGGUGGGACGAAGAAGUCCCGCUUCGGUCAAUGGCAGCGCGGAAAGCGUUUGCACAAUGCCAUCCGAUCUCAAUGCCGGAGAAGACACAAUGCCGGUGCGGUCCUCUAGGGCGGCCGUAGCCGUGCGAGUUUGGCAGCUUCUCCUUCUACGGCGAUGGAGAGGAGGCAUCCACUAAGGCAGGGAUGCGGUGGUCAGAGGCAGCGCCCCAUGAGGGUGGGGCUGCCGUGCGCGACCGGUUGAGGGGAGGGGAGAUCGUGG